rnacentral:tRNA from 1 species
GGGCCGUUGGCGCAGUUGGUAGCGCACUUGCAUGACACGCAAGGGGUCGUGGGUUCAAGUCCCGCACGGCCCACCA